rnacentral:lncRNA from 1 species
CGCGAAAACGGGACCCGAAAGGCUAUGUCGGACCAUGAACUAAAUCCGACAUUAGCGGGGAUGAAAAGAUGAUGAAAACAUGCUCGAAAACAUGUUUGGAGAGUCUCGGUUCGAUUUGAAAUGAAUCGGAGGUCAAACGAGCGAAAACGAGUGAAAAUAGAGCUAAAACGGUGAAAAAGCUGAAAAUUUGGCUAAGUCUGGAAAUGCUGAAAUUCUGGUCCUUCGGGGACCGGUCUCUCAUCGCAAGGACCGGUCCCAGAGCGCGAAAAACACCCAGUUUGGGCUGUUGCAAGGUUGGAGAAGUAGAGGGGCUUAUUUGGAAAUGUUACAAUAUGAGAGGGGAUUAAGAGAGCAUUUUCUCUCUCUCUUUCUCUCAUUUCCCUCACUCCCUCACAUUUCUCUCUCCCUCUCUCUCUCCCUAAACGAAAUAGAAGAAAGGGAAGAAGAGAAAGAAGGAGAAGAAGAAGGAGAAGAAGGUCAAGAAGGUGGAGCUUCACCAUCUUCAUCUUCUUCCUUGGGUUGGAGCUAGCACAUAGAGGUAAGCUUGAUGCUUAUUAAUGGUAGAUCACUAGAGCUUGGGUUUUAAUCCUUAUAAAUGGAUUUAGUGGACCUCUUUGAUGCUAAGUAGAUGAUCAAAGCUUAAAUCCAAAGCCCUAAUGGUGGAUUUUUAUCUAAUUGCAAACCUAGGGUUAAAAAUGG